GCAAGGGCAGUUGGUCACCUGCCGCGAUCCUUCGGUUUUUCCGAACUGGGGUGUCGUUGGUUUUGGGGGUUAAGAGGCCUCGGUGAAAUUUACAUCAGGGAGGUCCCUUUCUGCCUUCGUCACACAAGAGACUUUUACUUUUGCGACUUUUGUGAGAAAUGGUUGAGAUUAAAAGUUUCAACUGAAAACCAAAAAGACCACUGCAAAGCGGAAUAAAAUUUGGAAAAAACAUCCACUGUCAGGAAAAUGGCACUAAAUCCAGCUGGAGAGAAACCCUAUGAAUACAAUCUGUGUGGAAGAGCCAUCAGAAGGAAUUCUAACCUUGUUUGGCCCAAGGGAAGUUACACAGGAGAGAAAUGAAAUGAAUGUAAAGAAUGUGGGAGAGUGUCUAGUUGUCUUUCAUCCCUUCAGACCCAUGUGUGCUCUCAUGCUGGCAAGAAACCCUGUGCGUGGGAAAGCUUCUGGUCAUCACCCAUCCUUUAUGACACAAAUCCACACUGGAGAGAAACCCUAUGAGUUUAACCAGAGUAGGAGAGGAUACACAAUUGGGAGAAGCUGUGUAGAUGCAAGGACUGUGGAAAGACUUCAUCAGGAGCAGGAACCUGACCGUGCAUAAGAGAGCGCACACUAGGGAGGGACUAUCUGUGUGAUGUUUGUCGCAAAGACUUUAGCAGGAAAUUCCAUCCGAUGGCACACAUGAGAACCCAUAACGGGGAGAAGCUUUACCAUUGCAGUAACCAUGGAAAAGCCUUCAAUAGGAGCCCUAACCUGACUGAUCACAAGAGGGUACAUACAGGGAAGAUUGACCAGUGCAGCUACUGUAGUAACUUGAGUAGUCAUCCACCCCGGAGGAAACGUGAGUACUCACGGUGGAGAGAAGCCCUGGGAUUGGAAGCACAUGGGAAAGCCCCAUUGGUCUCACAUGUGAGCAACUCUGUGCACAUCGUUCGUCUGAGAAAGCCUUCCACGGGGACUUCAGUUCCUGCAUAAAGAAAUACAGAGUGGGAGAGAAAUCUUACGAGUGUUAUAAAUAUAGAAUUGCUUUCAGCAGGGUCUUCUCCUCAAAAUGGAAAUCUAAAUCCUUAGUUUUCAGAUCAUGUUUGUGAAUAAAAGCACCCAUAGAGAUCCCCUGCACAUCCCUUUAGCACAUUACAUGGGUUUCGACCUAAGGUAUUUUUUAUUUUGGUUUAAUUCUAAAUACUAUUUCUGUUUGACGUAUUUUAACUCAACAAUGUCACUUUCUUUUGAGCCUAUCAAAAUACAACUUCAUUUAAAUUUCACCUGAAUUUUCUCCUUCCCCCAGAUUUUUAUAAUAUCCAUAGUUCUUUGGUAGGACAUCCAUGGUUCCUUAGGUGUGUGGUCCCCCUUGUUGCAAUGAGCCAGUAAGCUGGACUUUGUUAGACUAUAGGUUUUGUCCCUGGUGGUCUUUGGCUGAUUAUGUUGGGACAACAACAGACAGUCAUAAAUAUGUUCUUUCUCUUGUCAUCUAAAAUGUUUCUAAAAAGUCCUUCUGAAAUGUCUUCCAACAUAUUCUCCUAUCCAUUAAUGAUAUUUUAAAUAUGUGGUGUCAGGAGGGGUCCAAUUUAAUUUCCUUCCUGGUAGAUAACCAGUUUUCCUAGAACUCUAAUCUGAAAGCUCCCGUUUUAAGUUUCUGUGUGCAUGUUUUUAUGUUUCUGGGCCUUCCAUUCUAUUAUAAUCAAAUUUGUUAAUCCUGUAUCAAUCCAGCACCAUCUUUAAUAACUUUAUACUAUUUUGUAACAUCUAAGAGAUCCCUACAACCUGUUCUUCAAGAGUAGCUUCUCUCUUCUGUGCCUUUCAUUUCUUCAUACGUAUUUUACAGUAAACUUGCACAAUUCCACAAAAAGUCAUAUUGGUAUCAUGUCUGACAUCUCAUUAGAUCAGUACUGGUAGAAUUGUUAAGUCUUUCAGGCCUUAAACUCAAUAACUUCAUUUAUUUAGUCAUUCUCUAAUGUCUUUCAGUAAAGUUUUAUACAUUUGAUAAAUAUAUACAUAUUUAAAAUAUUAUU